rnacentral:rRNA from 1 species
AUACGUAGGGGGCAAGCGUUAUCCGGAUUUACUGGGUGUAAAGGGAGCGUAGACGGAAGGCCAAGUCUGAUGUGAAAGCCCGCGGCUCAACUGCGGGACUGCAUUGGAAACUGGUCAUCUGGAGUGCAGGAGGGGUAAGCGGAAUUCCUAGUGUAGCGGUGAAAUGCGUAGAUAUUAGGAGGAACACCGGUGGCGAAGGCGGCUUACUGGACUGUAACUGACGUUGAGGCUCGAAAGCGUGGGGAGCAAACAGGAUUAGAUGCCCUGGUAGUCCACGCCGUAAACGAUGAAUACUAGGUGUCGGGUUUCUAUAGAGGUUCGGUGCCGCAGCAAAUGCAAUAAGUAUUCCACCUGGGGAGUACGUUCGCAAGAAUGAAACUCAAAUGAAUUGACGGGG